AUCAAUAAGCGGAGGAAAAGAAACCAACAGGGAUUGCCCUAGUAACGGCGAGUGAAGCGGCAACAGCUCAAAUUUGAAAUCUGGCGCAAGCCCGAGUUGUAAUUUGUAGAGGAUGCUUCUGGGUAGCGACCGAUCUAAGUUCCUUGGAACAGGACGUCAUAGAGGGUGAGAAUCCCGUAUGUGACCGGCCCGCACCCUUUACGUAGCUCCUUCGACGAGUCGAGUUGUUUGGGAAUGCAGCUCUAAAUGGGAGGUAAAUUUCUUCUAAAGCUAAAUACCGGCCAGAGACCGAUAGCGCACAAGUAGAGUGAUCGAAAGAUGAAAAGUACUUUGGAAAGAGAGUUAAAAAGCACGUGAAAUUGUUGAAAGGGAAGCGCCUGCAACCAGACUUCGCGGCAGUGUUCCGCCGGUCUUCUGACCGGUUCAUUCUCUGUCGCGAGGCCAUCAUCGUCUGGGCCCGCCGGAUAAGACCUGAGGAAUGUGGCUCCCCCUCGGGGGAGUGUUAUAGCCUCUGGUGAUGCGGCGUGGCCCGGGCGAGGUCCGCGCUUCGGCAAGGAUGAUGGCGUAAUGGUUGUCGGCGGCCCGUCUUGAAACACGGACCAAGGAGUCUAACAUCUAUGCGAGUGUUCGGGUGUCAAACCCCUACGCGUAAUGAAAGUGAACGGAGGUGGGAACCGCAAGGUGCACCAUCGACCGAUCCUGAUGUCCUCGGAUGGAUUUGAGUAAGAGCAUAGCUGUUGGGACCCGAAAGAUGGUGAACUAUGCCUGAAUAGGGUGAAGCCAGAGGAAACUCUGGUGGAGGCUCGCAGCGGUUCUGACGUGCAAAUCGAUCGUCAAAUUCGAGUA
rnacentral:rRNA from 1 species